rnacentral:rRNA from 1 species
CGAAUGGGGAAACCCAGUGUGAUUCGUCACACUAUCAUUAACUGAAUCCAUAGGUUAAUGAGGCGAACCGGGGGAACUGAAACAUCUAAGUACCCCGAGGAAAAGAAAUCAACCGAGAUUCCCCCAGUAGCGGCGAGCGAACGGGGAGGAGCCCAGAGCCUGAAUCAGCAUGUGUGUUAGUGGAAGCGUCUGGAAAGGCGCGCGAUACAGGGUGACAGCCCCGUACACAAAAGCGCAUGUGCUGUGAGCUCGAUGAGUAGGGCGGGACACGUGGUAUCCUGUCUGAAUAUGGGGGGACCAUCCUCCAAGGCUAAAUACUCCUGACUGACCGAUAGUGAACCAGUACCGUGAGGGAAAGGCGAAAAGAACCCCGGCGAGGGGAGUGAAAAAGAACCUGAAACCGUGUACGUACAAGCAGUGGGAGCNNNAUAGGGGAGCCGGAGGGAAACCGAGUCUUAAUUGGGCGUUAAGUUGCAGGGUAUAGACCCGAAACCCGGUGAUCUAGCCAUGGGCAGGUUGAAGGUUGGGUAACACUAACUGGAGGACCGAACCGACUAAUGUUGAAAAAUUAGCGGAUGACCUGUGGCUGGGGGUGAAAGGCCAAUCAAACCGGGAGAUAGCUGGUUCUCCCCGAAAGCUAUUUAGGUAGCGCCUCGUGAAUUCAUCUCCGGGGGUAGAGCACUGUUUCGGCUAGGGGGCCAUCCCGGCUUACCAACCCGAUGCAAACUGCGAAUACCGGAGAAUGUUAUCACGGGAGACACACGGCGGGUGCUAACGUCCGUCGUGAAGAGGGAAACAACCCAGACCGCCAGCUAAGGUCCCAAAGUCAUGGUUAAGUGGGAAACGAUGUGGGAAGGCCCAGACAGCCAGGAUGUUGGCUUAGAAGCAGCCAUCAUUUAAAGAAAGCGUAAUAGCUCACUGGUCGAGUCGGCCUGCGCGGAAGAUGUAACGGGGCUAAACCAUGCACCGAAGCUGCGGCAGCGACGCUUAUGCGUUGUUGGGUAGGGGAGCGUUCUGUAAGCCUGUGAAGGUGGCCUGUGAGGGUUGCUGGAGGUAUCAGAAGUGCGAAUGCUGACAUAAGUAACGAUAAAGCGGGUGAAAAGCCCGCUCGCCGGAAGACCAAGGGUUCCUGUCCAACGUUAAUCGGGGCAGGGUGAGUCGACCCCUAAGGCGAGGCCGAAAGGCGUAGUCGAUGGGAAACGGGUUAAUAUUCCCGUACUUGGUGUUACUGCGAAGGGGGGACGGAGAAGGCUAUGUUGGCCGGGCGACGGUUGUCCCGGUUUAAGCGUGUAGGUGUGUGUUCCAGGUAAAUCCGGUUCACUUUAACACUGAGGCGUGACGACGAGGCACUACGGUGCUGAAGCAACAAAUGCCCUGCUUCCAGGAAAAGCCUCUAAGCAUCAGGUAACAUCAAAUCGUACCCCAAACCGACACAGGUGGUCAGGUAGAGAAUACCAAGGCGCUUGAGAGAACUCGGGUGAAGGAACUAGGCAAAAUGGUGCCGUAACUUCGGGAGAAGGCACGCUGACANGUAGGUGAAGUGAUUUACUCAUGGAGCUGAAGUCAGUCGAAGAUACCAGCUGGCUGCAACUGUUUAUUAAAAACACAGCACUGUGCAAACACGAAAGUGGACGUAUACGGUGUGACGCCUGCCCGGUGCCGGAAGGUUAAUUGAUGGGGUCAGCGCAAGCGAAGCUCCUGAUCGAAGCCCCGGUAAACGGCGGCCGUAACUAUAACGGUCCUAAGGUAGCGAAAUUCCUUGUCGGGUAAGUUCCGACCUGCACGAAUGGCGUAAUGAUGGCCAGGCUGUCUCCACCCGAGACUCAGUGAAAUUGAACUCGCUGUGAAGAUGCAGUGUACCCGCGGCAAGACGGAAAGACCCCGUGAACCUUUACUAUAGCUUGACACUGAACAUUGAGCCUUGAUGUGUAGGAUAGGUGGGAGGCUUUGAAGCGUGGACGCCAGUCUGCGUGGAGCCGACCUUGAAAUACCACCCUUUAAUGUUUGAUGUUCUAACGUGGACCCGUAAUCCGGGUUGCGGACAGUGUCUGGUGGGUAGUUUGACUGGGGCGGUCUCCUCCUAAAGAGUAACGGAGGAGCACGAAGGUUGGCUAAUCCUGGUCGGACAUCAGGAGGUUAGUGCAAUGGCAUAAGCCAGCUUGACUGCGAGCGUGACGGCGCGAGCAGGUGCGAAAGCAGGUCAUAGUGAUCCGGUGGUUCUGAAUGGAAGGGCCAUCGCUCAACGGAUAAAAGGUACUCCGGGGAUAACAGGCUGAUACCGCCCAAGAGUUCAUAUCGACGGCGGUGUUUGGCACCUCGAUGUCGGCUCAUCACAUCCUGGGGCUGAAGUAGGUCCCAAGGGUAUGGCUGUUCGCCAUUUAAAGUGGUACGCGAGCUGGGUUUAGAACGUCGUGAGACAGUUCGGUCCCUAUCUGCCGUGGGCGCUGGAGAACUGAGGGGGGCUGCUCCUAGUACGAGAGGACCGGAGUGGACGCAUCACUGGUGUUCGGGUUGUCAUGCCAAUGGCACUGCCCGGUAGCUAAAUGCGGAAGAGAUAAGUGCUGAAAGCAUCUAAGCACGAAACUUGCCCCGAGAUGAGUUCUCCCUGAGACUUAGAGUCUCCUGAAGGAACGUUGAAGACGACGACGUUGAUAGGCCGGGUGUGUAAGCGCAGCGAUGCGUUGAGCUAACCGGUACUAAUGAACCGUGAGGCUUAACC